rnacentral:SRP_RNA from 1 species
GCUGAGUUGGGUAGCUCCAGCUUAUGACCCAAGCGGGGGCAUUAAGGUGAUGGUACACAACUUUGGCUUGUCAGGUUGAGUUGGUGGCUGCACUAUGCUGGCCUGCCCUCUCCAAGUUGAGAGUUGAGUCACGGGACUUGGGCAAAGGCUUAUAUCUCUUGGCUCCUAGACUCGAGGGUACAGCGUGAGGCUGGACUCACAGAGCAGGGAACACCUCCGGCUCUUGACAGUGGAGGGAUCACAGGCUGCCUGCUGAGCCAAGCUUAUUGGACCAUCAUUUUU